AUUGAACGCUGGCGGCAGGCUUAACACAUGCAAGUCGAGCGGGGGAAGGUAGCUUGCUACUGGACCUAGCGGCGGACGGGUGAGUAAUGCUUAGGAAUCUGCCUAUUAGUGGGGGACAACAUCUCGAAAGGGAUGCUAAUACCGCAUACGUCCUACGGGAGAAAGCAGGGGAUCUUCGGACCUUGCGCUAAUAGAUGAGCCUAAGUCGGAUUAGCUAGUUGGUGGGGUAAAGGCCUACCAAGGCGGCGAUCUGUAGCGGGUCUGAGAGGAUGAUCCGCCACACUGGGACUGAGACACGGCCCAGACUCCUACGGGAGGCAGCAGUGGGGAAUAUUGGGCAAUGGGGGGAACCCUGAUCCAGCCAUGCCGCGUGUGUGAAGAAGGCCUUAUGGUUGUAAAGCACUUUAAGCGAGGAGGAGGCUACUUUAGUUAAUACCUAGAGAUAGUGGACGUUACUCGCAGAAUAAGCACCGGCUAACUCUGUGCCAGCCGCCGCCGUAACAC
rnacentral:rRNA from 1 species